rnacentral:rRNA from 1 species
UACGUAGGGUGCAAGCGUUAAUCGGAAUUACUGGGCGUAAAGCGUGCGCAGGCGGUUUUGUAAGUCUGACGUGAAAUCCCCGGGCUCAACCUGUGAAUUGCGUUGGAGACUGCAAGGCUAGAAUCUGGCAGAGGGGGGUAGAAUUCCACGUGUAGCAGUGAAAUGCGUAGAGAUGUGGAGGAACACCGAUGGCGAAGGCAGCCCCCUGGGUCAAGAUUGACGCUCAUGCACGAAAGCGUGGGGAGCAAACAGG